CAUUACAAAAAUAUCUCUCUCUCUCUCUGUGAGAUCGGAGCCUGCCAUGUCCGAUGAGGAGCACCACUUCGAGUCGCCGACGCCGAAGCCUCUAAGACCUCUCCUCAGCAUUUCAUAGUUUGAUUGAAUGGGAAGGGAGGGAUUCAAUUCCCUCCAAACGUAACUCAACUUCAAAGAUCAAAGCAACAGUGAAGGAAUUGGGUUGCUAUCGUUCACUGUGAGCCAUGGAUCGAAGUUCUCGAAGGCUAUAUGCUAUCUAUGGUUUCUUUGAGCAUGGUGUGACGAGUUGUGGUACGUGGGAGCCCUAACAAUUGGGGGUGAUGGUGUGCAUGCGUCUUUGAGGCUCGUGCUUGUGGUGAUGGAGGUUGCUAAUGGCCACUGGGUGGUGCCGCCUAGUUUUAAGGCCGUGCCUCCAGCUCUUGAUCAAGGUAGUAGUGGGAGUGUGACUCUGACUAACACUCAUACGGGUAAGGAUGUGACUGGGUGGUGAAGGGUUAAGGUAAGGAGAAGGUGGUAAUUGGGACUGAAGAUGAAGUGAAGAUGAUUAAGGGUUUUGUGACUAAGUCUCUUCCUCAAGGCCAUAUUUUGAGGACAAGCUCAAGUACAGAUCCACUGUCAUCCCUGCAGAAGAGAGAUUGGAUUGUGGAAUUUUUGUGAUGUACUACAUGGAGAAACUUUCGAAAGAGGAGGGGAUUCAAAAGACACUCUGCAAGAAGUAUAUUUUGCAAUAUAGAGCUCAUAUAAUCAAGACAUUUGCGAAACAUAGGCAGAUUUGGAUCUCUAUAGAUUUAGAGUUUUAGAAAUUUGUUUAGGGCUUAGGAUGCAAGUCACUGGCCAAUUGUAAACUCCAGCUUACUAAAUCAAUUAGCUUUUUAUAUCUUUUUAUGGUAUCACUGUUAUGUUUAGUUUUCCUUAAUGAAAUUUACAGCAC